GAGAUGCAAGGUUCCUUUCGGGGACCGGGAGACAGGUGCUGCAUGGCUGUCGUCAGCUUGUGUCGUGAGAUGUUGGGUUAAGUCCCGCAACGAGCGCAACCCUCGCCCUUAGUUGCCAGCAUUCAGUUGGGCACUCUAAGGGGACUGCCGGUGAUAAGCCGAGAGGAAGGUGGGGAUGAUGUCAAGUCCUCAUGGCCCUUACGGGUUGGGCUACACACGUGCUACAAUGGUGGUGACAGUGGGCAGCGAGCACGCGAGUGUGAGCUAAUCUCCAAAAGCCAUCUCAGUUCGGAUUGCACUCUGCAACUCGAGUGCAUGAAGUUGGAAUCGCUAGUAAUCGCGGAUCAGCAUGCCGCGGUGAAUACGUUCCCGGGCCUUGUACACACCGCCCGUCACACCAUGGGAGUUUGUUUUACCCGAAGGUAGUGCGCUAACCCCUGGUAGUUUUUCUUAACCCCGGUGGGGUGGGGCGUGU
rnacentral:rRNA from 1 species